rnacentral:rRNA from 1 species
UACAUGUGGGGCAAGCGUUGUUCGGAAUUACUGGGCAUAAAGGGUGCGUAGGUGGUCUGUUAAGUCAGAGGUGAAAUCCUGGAGCUCAACUCCAGAACUGCCUUUGAUACUGAGGAUCUUGAGUUCGGGAGAGGUGAGUGGAACUGCGAGUGUAGAGGUGAAAUUCGUAGAUAUUCGCAAGAACACCAGUGGCGAAGGCGGCUCACUGGCCCGAUACUGACGCUGAGGCACGAAAGCGUGGGGAGCAAACAGG